ACAAAACCGAUGGUGUUUCACUUACUUUUCAUUACUAUACAACUGCCUUUUGUUAUUUUUACAGAACUCCCAAGGAGAAGAGAAAGUAGAUUUGGAAAACCAUGAGGAACUCAGUUAUCUGAUGACAUGUAUAUCUUAAAUUAUGCAUGAGGCUAAAGAUACAGACCUACCUCAUUAGUGAGAAAUGCAAAUUUCACAGCAGAUAUGGUUCUUGUACACUUGGGAGCAUCUGUUGCCAUCAAAGGAUCUGACAUCUGGAUUGCUUUGGGUCCAUAUUAAAUGUAGUAGCUGAAGAGUCCCACUCUUUGGAGAAAGUGUUUUGACUGACUAGUGAUGCUCAUGACAAGAUGGAUAGUAUGGAACAGUAUCAGAAAUCACAGAGAGGUCAACGUAUGGAGAAACAGAAGUGUGGUCCAGGAAAUCAUAGAUUAUUAAAUAAUAAAAGCAAGCAACAUGUUUUGAGUUUCUACAUGGCAGCAAAUGAUGAUUGUCUGAGAAAAAGUUUAUGAAACCCUGAAGCAAGUGACAAGAAUUGCAAAGGCCUGGAUACAGAACUCAGCAGUUUUAAGAAUAAGUUUGGGGUGAGUCACAACAAAUAAAACAAGUUUCUUAAAAUACCA
rnacentral:lncRNA from 1 species